rnacentral:rRNA from 1 species
AUUGAACGCUGGCGGCAGGCCUAACACAUGCAAGUCGAACGGUAACAGGAAGAAGCUUGCUUCUUUGCUGACGAGUGGCGGACGGGUGAGUAAUGUCUGGGAAACUGCCUGAUGGAGGGGGAUAACUACUGGAAACGGUAGCUAAUACCGCAUAACGUCGCAAGACCAAAGAGGGGGACCUUCGGGCCUCUUGCCAUCGGAUGUGCCCAGAUGGGAUUAGCUAGUAGGUGGGGUAACGGCUCACCUAGGCGACGAUCCCUAGCUGGUCUGAGAGGAUGACCGGCCACCCUGGAACUGAGACACGGUCCAGACUCCUACGGGAGGCAGCGGUGGGGAAUAUUGCACAAGGGGGGCAAGCCUGAUGCGGCCAUGCCGCGUGGAUGAAGAAGGCCUUCGGGUUGUAAAGUACGUUCAGCGGGGAGGAAGGGAGUAAAGUUAAUACCUUUGCUCAUUGACGUUACCCGCAGAAGAAACACCGGCUAACUCCGU